GUUACCUUGUUACGACUUCACCCAGUCAUGAAUCCUACCGUGGUAAUCGCCCUCCUUACGGUUAGGCUAACUACUUCCUGGUAAAACCCACUCCCAUGGUGUGACGGGCGGUGUGUGCAGACCCGGGAGCAUCAUUCACCGCGACAUGCUGAUCACGGUGCUAGCGAUUCCGACUUCACGCAGUCGAGUUGCAGACUGCGAUCGGACCCUACGAUCGGGUUUCUGGGAUUGGCUCCCCCCUCGCGGGUUGGCGACCUCUGUCCCGACCCAUUGUAUGACGAUGUGAAGCCCUACCCGUAAAGGCCAUGAGGACUUGACGUCGCUCCCCUUCCUCCGGUUUGUCACCGGCAAUGAGGAAGUAGUCUCAUAGAGUGCCCUUUGGCGCUUCUUCAUGUCAAGGGUUUUUUCUGCGCUCGUUGCGGGACUUAACUUAACAUCUCACGUGCGAGAGCUGGCGGCAACCACAGCACCUGUGUUCAGUUCUCUUGAGCACUCCCAAAUCUCUUUCGGGAUUCAGACAUGUCAAGGUGGUAAGGUUUUCGCGUUGCAUCAGAUAAUCCACAUCAUCCACAUGUGCGGUCCCCGUAAUUCCUUUGAGUUUUAAUCUUGACCGUACUCCCCGGGCGGUCAACUUCACGCGUUAGCUGCGCUACCAGGGCGAGGCAGCUAGUUGACAUCGUUUAGGGCGUGAAUGCCAGGUAUCUAAUCCUGUUGCUCCCCCGCUUUCGUGCAUGAGCGUCAGUGUUAUCAGAGGCUGCCUUCGCCAUCGGUGUUCCUCCCGCAUAUCUGCGACCACUAUGCGCUGAUUCCACCUCCCACUCUGACACACUCUAGCUCGGUAGUUAAAAAUGCAGUUCCAAGAUUGGCUCUGAGAUUCAUCUUUCUUUCCGAACCGCGCCGCACGCUUCGCCCAGUAAUUCCAGAUUAACGCUUGCACCCUACGUAUUACCGCGGCUGCUGGCACGUAGUUGCUCCGGUGCUUAUUCUGCAGGUACCGUCAGUUGCCGGGGUAUUAUCAAUGCGUUUCUUUCCUGCACAAAAAGUGCUUUACAACCAAGAGGAGCCUUCAUCGCACACGCGGGAUGGCUGGAUCCGAAGGUUUACCCCAUUGUCCCAGAAUUCCCCUUCACUGCCUCCGUAGUCUGGAGCCGUAUCUAGGUCCCAGUCGUGUGACUGGAGUCGUCUCUCAAACCAGCUGCAGGAUCAAUCAUAUGAUGACCGUUUACCCACCAACUAGCUAAUCCGAUAUCGGCGCUCUCAGCAGUGAGGCCCGAAGGUCUGCUUCCCCCGAAGGGCAGUAUGCGGUAUUAGCUGCAACUUUCGCCCGUAGUUAUCACCACUUCUAGGCACGUUUCCGAUACAUUACUCACCCGUUCGCCACUCUCUCACCGCAGACCGAAGUCCGUGCUGCCGUUCGACUUGCAUGUGUAAAGCAUCCCGCCAGCGUUCAGUCUGACCAUGAUCGAACUCUCAUAUUUUACCUGA
rnacentral:rRNA from 1 species